rnacentral:misc_RNA from 1 species
AGCAGCCGCGGUAAUUCCAGCUCCAAUAGCGUAUAUUAAAGUUGUUGCAGUUAAAAGCUCGUAGUUGAAUUUCGGGAUUAAUAUGUUGGUCGUGCCUUGGUACGUACUGGCAUUAUUGAUUCCUACCUUCUGAAGAACCUCGAUGUCAUUAAUUUGGUGUCUUGGGGAAUCAGGACCGUUACUUUGAAAAAUUUGAGUGUUUAAAGCAGGCUCGCGCUUGAAUACAUUAGCAUGGAAUAAUGAAAUAGGACGUUUGAUUCUAUUUUGUUGGUUUCUAGGAUCGACGUAAUGAUUAAUAGGGAUAGUUGGGGGCAUUAGUAUUCAAUUGUCAGAGGUGAAAUUCUUGGAUUUAUUGAAGACUGACUACUGCGAAAGCAUUUGCCAAGGAUGUUUUCAUUAAUCAAGAACGAAAGUUAGGGAUCGAAGACGAUCAGAUACCGUCGUAGGUCUUAACCAUAAACUAUAGCCGACUAGGGAUCGGAUGAUGUUAAUUUUUAAUGUACUCUAUUCGGCGUACCG